UACGUAGGGGGCGAGCGUUGUCCGGAGUUACUGGGCGUAAAGCGCUUGUAGGCGGUCCACCAAGUUUGGGGUGACAGUUGCCGACUUAAUCGGCAAAGUGCCUCAAAGACUGGCGGACUUGAGGGCCACAGAGGGACACGGAACUCCAGGUGUAGUGGUGAAAUGCGUAGAUAUCUGGAAGAACACCAAAGGCGAAGGCAGUGUCCUGGGUGGUCGCUGACGCUGAGAGGCGAAAGCCAGGGGAGCGAACGGG
rnacentral:rRNA from 1 species